rnacentral:rRNA from 1 species
UACGUAGGGGGCAAGCGUUGUCCGGAAUCAUUGGGCGUAAAGAGCGUGUAGGCGGCUUGGUAAGUCCGCUGUGAAAGUCCAGGGCUCAACCCUGGAAAGCCGGUGGAAACUGUCAAGCUUGAGUCCGGAAGAGGCGAGUGGAAUUCCUGGUGUAGCGGUGGAAUGCGCAGAUAUCAGGAGGAACACCAAUGGCGAAGGCAGAUCUCUGGGCCGUAACUGACGCUGAGGAGCGAAAAGCAUGGGGGAGCGAACAGG